UACAGAGGGCCGCUACCACGCAAGUGGAUGCCAAUCCCCAAAACCUCUCUCAGUUCGGAUUGAAGUCUGCAACCCGACUUCAUGAAGCUGGAUUCGCUAGUAAUCGCGCAUCAGCCACGGCGCGGUGAAUACGUUCCCGGGCCUUGUACACACCGCCCGUCAAGCCAUGGGAGCCGGGGGUACCUGAAGUGCGUAACCGCAAGGAGCGCCCUAGGGUAAAACUGGUGACUGGGGCUAAGUCGUAACAAGGUAAC
rnacentral:rRNA from 1 species